GCGGCGGGUUCCGGGCGGGGCCGCGCGGCCCGUCGCCGUCUCUCGGGCGCUGCUGCCGCCGCCGCUCCCCGUCCGGUGCGCCGAGCCGUCCUUCCGCGGCGUCCAGUUUCGUCCUCAGCUCCGCGACCUGGGGAGGCGUUCACAGACGGUCGCCGCCGAGCCCGCGCUCGCGGCGACGGACACGCCCCGUCCCCAACAGGCGGGAUUCGGCGCCUGAGGGAGACGGUCCGCGGCGCGGCCUCGCCCUGUCCCCGCACGGCCUCGCGCUUCCCGCCUCCCCGGCUCAGCCCGCGGGGUCGACCGCCGGGGCCGCGUCCCCAGGUUGGUCACGCUGCUCUCGGCGCUCGAGGCGGCCUGGCACGGUCUGGGAAAGGCAGCGGGCGUCGCGGCCGGCGGAACAUGCCCGCACGGAGAGAGACGGGCACGGCCUUUAAUCCGACGCCCCGCGGGACGGAGCGACGGGUCCGGAGCCCCCCAGACGGCGCCGCCCCCGGGACGCGCGCGAACUCCCGCCCCGCGGACGCCGCACCUUUCAAUUGAGCACUCGCGGGCAUCGUGCUGGGAAAUAAAGGGACAAAUGCUGCUCUUCCUCACGUGUGGUCGAGUUUCCUUUAUAUAGGGGAACUCGCUUUCCCUUUUGGAGGACAGAAUGAUUGUAAGUUAUAAAUUGCCUUUGACCUAUGAAAGGAGAUUUUGUCCAAAAAGUUCCUUCCUCACCAGAGCAAAAGCUCCUUGACGGCAAAUGUGCUUUAGAGGGAAGAGGGGGGGCCCCGUUUGUCCUCCCACUUUGGCUGUCGCCACCGUUUGUUUCCAUGGAGACCAGCUUUUGCUCUCUAAUUGAUUGAUUAGAGCUAGACUUGCCUAGAACCGUGUGAACUUUAAACGUCUCUCGCUGCACCUGUAACUUGGGCGCUGAUGGCUGCAGAUAUCGACAGCACAGCUGAGGCCGGACUCUCGAUGGACCGUGAUAAAUGGGCGAUAAAUGGGCGUAAAAAUCCCGAGAUGCUGCUGGGGGCUAUUUUUAGCACAUUUCUGUAGCCCCCUCAAGAUAAUUCGCUGAUGCUGAUCGUUAAUCUUCAAUACCUACCGAGAGGCCAACAACGUACUCAGCACCCCUCCCUCGCUUUUCAGCCAUCAGCUCCUGCUGGUGAGUCCUCAGGCUCUUGGCUCCACCAGGGCGAUUGGUUUCAAGAAAAGACCAAACAGAGGCGCUUACCUUUCUUUCAUACAACUUUUUCAUACUUCUAAAUUGCUGAUCCCAUUGCUGGUUAACUUCCAGGAGCUGAAAUGAUUAAAAUUUGAUGAAUCAAAAAAAGAAUGCCCGCCCAUCUGGAAAUUUGGCUACAAUGAAAUCACUUUGUGACCUUACUGAGAUUUUUUUGGAAACCAUGAGUGAGGAUGAGAUUCCUUCCAUCAAGUUCUGAUUGGGCGAGGAUAAUUUAAUUGGACACACUCUCACUCUCGUUAGAAUCAUCUUUUAGGAAUUGAUCCAUGUAUGAACAACUAUUAAGUCUUAGAUGUAUCCUGACAAGUCAGUUGAACAGUUUAUCAGCAACUAUUAACUUUUCUUAGGUAUUUGAAUUUUCGUCUUCUUUGUUUAAUCCAAUCAGAAUCUGGUAAAAAUCUAUAAGAAAUGAUAGCUUUCUGUAAGAUUUAUUAAUGUAUGAAGGGUCUUCCUCCAAACCUUUCCAUAUUGGUCUAUGUGUUUACACUGAUCAUUGUAAUGAAAUAUUUUCUCCAGUUCUUUUAAAGCAAAAUUUAUAUUAACAAAUCCUAGACUCCAUUAACUGAUAAUCAUUGGCUUGGAAUAAUGUGCUUUAAAAGAUUAACACAUGAUUUGUGAUAUAUGCUCAAAUGGAUAUCACCUUUUUGAAGGUAUAGAUUUCAAGGAAUAACAGUUUCAUCCUAAGAAAAUAUUUAGAAAAAUGUUAGGCAGCAAACAAUUUAAGGAUCUUAAAACUAUCUGCUAAUUAGAAGGUAGAAAGAACACUGAUCUGUGUUUUAGUAUUUUUGUAGGGGAAGCUCACAGCUUCCUACAUUAAGAGAAAUUCCAGCACUUAUCAAUAUGGAACAGACACUGAGAAGAUAAGUCGCGUGACUAAAAAAUAUCAAGGCCUUCUCCUAAUUAAAGGACAAAAUACCUAAUCCAGAGUGGCAGUUACUAGAUACAUCUUACACUGUAAAUAGAUAUGGUUAUUUAGCAUAAGACUAUUUAAUAUUACUAUAUAAAUAUACCUGAUCUGCUGGCAUUUUAGGGAUUCACAUUUCUAUGCUAUAGUAACAUUACUCUGCCAUAGUUCAGUAAUUUUCCAGAUGGGCACAAUAUUCAAUGCAGUAUCAAAGAGGAAUAGAAGGCAGUAUAGAAGAAAUGAAAGAUGUAUUAAAUAAUACAUAGAAUGGGUUAGAAAAGAAAUUACAAAAUUACAAGUCAACUGUACUUAUGAAGCCUUUGACAGUUUGAGUUUCAAGGUGUGUCAAGUUGCAAGGCAUAAACGGUACAGGUGAUAAGCUCACGUGGUCCAUGUGAAAGAAAGAUCUAAGUUUUCAGAAAAUUAGUAUUAUAAUUACCAGAUUUAUGUCUUUGUUAUUUCUCAUUCAUCAUUGCACAAACACUGAGAGACCAAAUACAAGAUAUGUGGGUGAAUAAGAAAAAGGCACUUGCUUUCAAAAUGUGCAGACUAGUAUCCUAGAGAUAAAUAUUGUGGCCUGAUAAAAAUAAAAAGCACGAGGUGCUACACUAUUUUAUUCUGAGUGUUAAUCUACGACACAUGUGGUUUCAACUAAUAUUUCUAAAUUACCUCUUUUCUCUGUUUUUCCAAGCACCUUAUCUUUUGUUCAAGAGAAUUUGUCAAGUUCAUUCCUCUUGAUGAUUGAGCACACUGAAGACAAAGAAAAAAAGAAGAUUGAAACAAAAGUCUACAAAAUAAGCAGAAGAAAUACUGUCCUUCACAAACCUCAUGCAUUUGGCUAACUCUCAUGUUGUGAUUUAUAAAAAUAUCUGAUUCUAGCAGUAAAAAUCCUCACACUCUAAGUCCUUCAUAGUAACUUGUUGAUGAAUCAGCUUCAUAUUAUAUUUUAAACUCCUUUAUAUGGAUUAGUUACCCAAAUAAUUCUCUAAUAAAUUAUAAGUGUAUCUAUAUACUGUAAUGGGCAAGCCAGAGAUUAGAAUUUAAAAUUUCAUGAAUUUGGAUUUCAAUCUUUUCCCAAAAAAAUGACAAUUCAGAGUAUGAUGGCUUAUAGAAAUCAGCUCAUCAUGGGGGUACAUAAGUUCAGGUCAUAUACAUUGUCCAUGUCCCGCCCUGAAAAGCCAUUUUUAUAGUUGUGCCCAUGAACAUGUAUGUGAGUGAGAUUCUGAAGAGUAGCCUUAGCAAAAGUCAGAGGAGUGAUAGAACCAUCAAGAAUAAAGAACACAUACAGGGAUUUCCCAGGAUGUCUCAAAUGGGCAGGCUCUGACUAAGACCUGCGGCAGUUCAGCCUUGCUCUGGGACUCAUCCAUCGCCUGUCGAACUGCCCAGAUUGAAUCUCAAAGACCAGAGCCAGCUUCAGCCUUCCUCCCUGGGUUAAGUCCAGGAAAGCUGCCGGAGCACUUUCAGCUGGAAGGUGCCGAGUGCUGAAGGAGCUCUUUAGUGACAGGAAGUGACUGGGGGAGAGAAGGUUUAUACGGCUCCACUUCAGGUGACAAGGAAGUACGAGACUGACUGUAAAUGAUUUGGGGACUGUCCCCACAGAUUCUUCUCGGUGAGUAAACUAUGGAAGGGCACAUUGAGACGCAGCGGAAGGAAGGCAUUCUCUCUCUUACCUUUGCAGAACAGGAACUUCUGCAACUCGGCCCGUCCUCCGUGGUGACCCGCUUUGCACCAGAAGCAUUUCUCUCAAUCAGAGCCCGAAUCUGGCUGUCCAGUUCCAGGCUUUCACACCUGCCCAGGGGGACACGGGAAAGUCACAUUUUACAAAGGCCUUUCUGUUUAAAGAAAACAACCUGUUGGUGGCUCCAGCUGCAAUGUAGGCGGCUUGUAAAGGCGAUGUUAGGAGAAGCUUGAGAGAGAAGAGAUGAGGGUCGGGAAUCCACUCUUGCCCCUCCUUUCUGGAACUCCCCGGUUUUUAAAGUGACUAACUCUGGGAAGUGACAAUCUGCCCUGUCACCCCAGUGAGCAAGCAGAGAGGACAGGGGAAGACACAUGAAUGAUUUGCAGCCCAGAGAAUGGGGGAAUAUUUCUUACAAACACGGACUCUGUCAUUGCCCUCAAGGUGCAUUCUUGGCUGGAUCCCUGUGUAUUUCCUCUUUGCUUUGUUGAUGUGCCGGGUCGCUGUACUGAUGCUGCACACCUGAGCCCAACUUCCUGCGUCUGUGCCCAGGUGGACGGUGCCGGCAGAGCAGCCAACUCGAAGCAGAGAUGAAGUGCAGCUGCGGAUGCUGGUGUGAACCCAGUGAGAGGUGAGCCGUGGACAAAGUUCUGUAAAAAUCACAUUCUUGGCUGAGCGCAGUGGCUCACACCUGUAAUCCUAGCACUCUGGGAGGUCGAGGCGGGAGGAUCACUCGAAGUCA